rnacentral:misc_RNA from 1 species
GAUGAAGAACGCAGCGAAAUGCAAUAAGUAGUGUGAAUUGCAGAAUUCAGUGAAUCAUCGAAUCUUUGAACGCACAUUGCGCCCCUUGGUAUUCCAUGGGGCAUGCCUGUUCGAGCGUCAUUUGUACCUUCAAGCUUUGCUUGGUGUUGGGUGUUUGUCCAUUCUCUUGCAGAGGGACUCGCCUUAAAGUAAUUGGCAGCCAGUGUUUUGGUUUUGAAGCGCAGCACAAGUCGCGAUUCAAAGCUAUACGCCCGCUUCCACAAGCCUUUUUCACUUUUGACCUCGGAUCAGGUAGGGAUACCCGCUGAACUUAAGCAUAUCAAUAAGCGGAGGA